rnacentral:snRNA from 1 species
ACCUCGGUUGAUCAAUUUGAUCA